GAGCAAUGACGUUUCCUUGCACAAAUUGUGAACGAUUGGGUCGUCACAUAAAUCUGAUAUAAGAUGAGAUAAUGUGUAUCUGAGCUC
rnacentral:snoRNA from 1 species